CCUACGGGAGGCAGCAGUAGGGAAUAUUGCUCAAUGGGGGCAACCCUGAAGCAGCAACGCCGCGUGGAGGAUGAAGGUUUUCGGAUUGUAAACUCCUUUUGUUAGAGAAGAUAAUGACGUUAACUAACGGAUAAGCACCGGCUAACUCCGUGCCAGCAGCCGCGGUAAUACGUAGUGUGCAAGCGUUCCGCGGAAUCACUGGGCGUAAAGAGCGCGUAGGCGGGAUAGCAAGUCAGAUGUGAAAUCCUGUGGCUUAAACAUAGAACUGCAUUUGAAACUGGUAUUCUAGAGUAUGGGAGAGGUAGGUGGAAGUCUUGGUGUAGGGGUGAAAUGCGUAGAGAUCAGGAGGAAUACUAAUUGCGAAGGCGACCUGCUAGAACAUAACUGACGCUGAUGCGCGAAAGCGUGGGGAGCAAACAGGAUUAGAUACCCGGGUAGUC
rnacentral:rRNA from 1 species